AGAGUUUGAUCAUGGCUCAGAUUGAACGCUGGCGGCAUGCUUUACACAUGCAAGUCGAACGGCAGCACGGGAGCUUGCUCCUGGUGGCGAGUGGCGAACGGGUGAGUAAUGCACCGGAACGUACCCAGUAAUGGGGGAUAACACAUCGAAAGAUGUGCUAAUACCGCAUACGCCCUGAGGGGGAAAGCGGGGGAUCGUAAGACCUCGCGUUAUUGGAGCGGCCGAUGCCGGAUUAGCUAGUUGGUGAGGUAAGAGCUCACCAAGGCGACGAUCCGUAGCUGGUCUGAGAGGACGACCAGCCACACUGGGACUGAGACACGGCCCAGACUCCUACGGGAGGCAGCAGUGGGGAAUUUUGGACAAUGGGGGAAACCCUGAUCCAGCCAUUCCGCGUGAGUGAAGAAGGCCUUCGGGUUGUAAAGCUCUUUCGCAAGGAAAGAAAACUUAUCUACUAAUACUAGAUGAGGUUGACGGUACCUUGAUAAGAAGCACCGGCUAACUACGUGCCAGCAGCCGCGGUAAUACGUAGGGUGCGAGCGUUAAUCGGAAUUACUGGGCGUAAAGCGUGCGCAGGCGGUUCGACAAGUCUGAUGUGAAAUCCCCGGGCUCAACCUGGGAACUGCGUUGGACACUGUCGGGCUAGAGUGUAGAAGAGGGGGGUAGAAUUCCACGUGUAGCAGUGAAAUGCGUAGAGAUGUGG
rnacentral:rRNA from 1 species